CUCCCAUGAAAAACAAUAUAUAAUAAUAAUAAGAGACAGAGAGAGAGAGAGAGCGAGAGGGAGAGAGAGUAUAUGAAAAGGACACUACAGGAAAGGCUAUUAGCGAUGAUUUAAAUCGAUAUUUUGGAAAAAAAAUUUUUAAAACACAGCUCCAUGAAACAUAUAUACUAUAUAAGAGAGAGAGGCGAAGGAGACGAGAGAGAGACGAGAGCUAUAUGAGAACACUAAGGAAAGGCUAUUAGAUGAUUUAAUCGAGCAUUGAAGAAAUUUUAACAGCUCCAUGAAAACAAGGUAUAUUAUAUCAGUUAUGAGAGAAGCAGAGAGGGAGAGCAAGCAGGAAGAGAGAGAGCAAUUGAACAAAGCGACAGUAAGGCAAGGCUAUUAGAUGCAUUUAUAAUCGACAUAGGAAGAAAAUUUAACUAGCUCUGCCUAUGAAAAAAUAAAUAUAAUUCAGAGGAGAGAGAAGAGAGACGGAGAGAGAAGAGAGAGAGAGAAGGAUGAGCAUAUAUGAAAGGACACUAAGGAAAGGCGUAUUAGAUGAUUUAAAUCGACGAUUGGAAGAAAUUUAACAGCAUCCAUGAACAAUAAAAUAUAUAUAAAUAUUAAUAUAUAUUAUAAUAUUAUAGUAAUGUGAAGACAGCAAGAGAAGAGAGAGAAGAGAGAGAAGCUAUAUGAAAAUGAAGGACCCUAAGUAAAAGGCUAUGUAAAGAUGAUUUUAAUCGACAUUGGAAAGAAAUUUAACAAGCUCCAUGAAAAUAAUACUGUAUAUAUAUAUAAUACUAAAUAUUAUAUAUAUAUAUAUAAUAUAUAUAUAUAUAUAUAUAUCAUAUAUAUAUAUAUAUAUAUAUAUAAGAGAGAAGAGAGAGAAUGAGAGAGAGGAGAGAGGAGAGAGAGAAAGGAGAGAGAGGAGAGAGGCAAUAAUGAAAAGGACACUAAAGGAAAGGCUAUUAGAUGCAUUUAUCGACGAUUGAAGAAAAGUUUAAACAGUCCCUGAAGACAAUAUAUCCAUCCAUAUAUUAUAUUAAUAUGUAUAAUAUUAUUAUAUAAUUAUAAUAUAUAUUAUAUAUUAUAUAUAUAUAUAUAUAUAUUAUAUAAAUAUAUAAGAGAGAGAGAGAGAAGAGAGAGAGAGAGAGACAGAGAGCAUAUGAAAAGGACACCAUAAUGGAAAGGGCUAUUAGAUGAAUUUAAUCGAAAUUGGAAGACAAAUUAACAGCUCCGAUAACAACAAUAUAUAUAUAUAAUAUAUAUAUAUAUAUUAUAUAUAUAUAUCAUAUAUAUAUAUAAUAUAUAUAUAUAUAAUAUAUAUUAUAUUUAAUAUAUAUAUAUAUAUAUAAGACGAAAGAGAGAGAGAGAGAGCAAUAUAUGAAAAGGACACUAAGGAAAGGCUAUUAGAUGAUGAUUCUUAAAUCGACAUUGGAAGAAAAAAUUUAAAAAAACAGCUCCCAUGAAAAAAACAAAUAUAUAUGAUAUAUAAGAGGAGAGAGAAGGAGGUGAGGAGAGAGAGAAAGAGAGACGGCGGCUAAUAAUGCAAGAAGACGACUAAGGAAAGGCUAAUUUAGACUGAUCUUAAAUCGAACAAUUGGAAGAAAAUUUAACAGCUCCAUGAAAAUAAUAUAUAUAUAUCAUAUAUAAUAUAGAGAAAAGAAGAGGAAAGGCAGGAAGAGAUGAGAGAGAGGGGGAGGAGUNNNNNNNNNNNNNNNNNNNNNNNAGAGAGAGAGAGAGAGAGAGAGAGAGAGAGAGAGAGAGAGAUAGCAAUAUGAAAAGGACACUAAGGAAAGGGUAUUAGAUGAUUUAAUCGACAUUGGAAGAAAAUUUAACAGCUCCAUGCAAAACAAUAUAUAUAUAUAUAUAUAUAUAAGAGAGAGGGAGAGAGAGAGAGAGAGAGAGAGAGAGCAAUAUGAAAAGGACACUAAGGAAAGACUAUUAGAUGAUUUAAUCGACAUUGGAAGAAAAUUUAACAACUCUAUGAAAAAUAAUAUAUAUAUAUACUCCCUCCGUUCCUUUUUAAGUGUCACUUUUUAACUUUUUACACAUACCAAGGAAGUUAAUCAUUAGUGUUACUUUUCAAACAAUAAUUCUUCUUUUAUCUAUAAUACCUUUAAUUAUUUAUUACAUUCACUUUACUUUUUCUCUCUCUGCAAUUAUUAUUUAGGGGUAAUUUUGACAAAAUUGCAAUUAAUACUACCUUGAACUUUGUAAGUGACAAUUAAAAAACAACAAAUUUUUUACAAGAAAGUGAAACUUAUAAGAGAGAGAGAGAGAGAGAGAGAGAGAGAGAGAGCAAUAUGAAAAGGACACUAAGGAAAUGCUAUUAGAUGAUUUAAUCGACAUUGGAAGAAAAUUUAACAGCUCCAUGAAAAACAAUAUAUAUAUAUAUAUGAGAGAGAGAGAGAGAGAGCAAUAUGAAAAGGACACUAAGGAAAGGCUAUUAGAUGAUUUAAUCGACAUUGGAAGAAAAUUUAACAGCUCCAUGAAAAACAAAAUAUAUAUAAGAGAGAGAGAGAGAGAG
rnacentral:lncRNA from 1 species